rnacentral:rRNA from 1 species
CCUACGGGUGGCAGCAGUGGGGAAUAUUGGACAAUGGGGGAAACCCUGAUCCAGCGACGCCGCGUGAGUGAAGAAGUAUUUCGGUAUGUAAAGCUCUGUCAGCAGGGAAGAAAGAAAUGACGGUACCUGACCAAGAAGCCCCGGCUAACUACGUGCCAGCAGCCGCGGUAAUACGUAGGGGGCAAGCGUGAUCCGGAAUUACUGGGUGUAAAAGGAGCGUAGACGGGGAUGCAAGUCUGGAGUGAAAGGCGGGGGACCAAACCCCGGACUGCUCUGGAAACUGUGUAACUUGAGUGAAGGAGAGGUAAGCGGAAUUCCUAGUGUAGCGGUGAAAUGCGUAGAUAUUAGGAGGAACACCAGUGGCGAAGGCGGCUUACUGGACUGUAACUGACGUUGAGGCUCGAAAGCGUGGGGAGCAAACAGGAUUAGAUACCCCAGUAGUC